AAGAAAGCUCAGCCCCACGCAGAGUGCCCGGGGUAGUGGGUGGCUCAGCAGCCGCUGCUGCUCGGGGAGGCACAAGAAGGAGGAAGCAGAAGGCACCCUGAGACGGCAGCGUGGGAGGGCCACUGGGGCAGGAGGUGAGCCGCAGCUGCUAAGGUGGCCAAGGACGUCACGAGCAAAAGCACAGCACCAGGAUGAGUUUGCUAUUCGUGGACAACAGCAAGGAGACCCGCCUGACCUGCUGCAGGACUUGCGACAGGGAGUCACGGGAGCUCGAAAAUUAAAAUCUCCCUGCCUUGGGCAAUUGAAGGCUGAGUGAGAGACGGCUACCACCACCACACAUUUCUUAUUUAAGUCAAUUUGGAAACACCGAAUGCUUUCUCUCGGGGCAGCUCUCUCCAGCUUGUUCAGACUCGCAGAGGGAGACCUGGUCCACAGGAUGUCUCCUGGUGGAGCUUCCCUGCAGAACAUCCCCUCAGAAGGAUCUGAAGUGACAGUCUGUGGAAGGUUGGCGCCCCCUGUUUUUACUGCAACUGCAGUUCUUGCUGAGCUUAUGGAGAGGUGUCUGGGGGCGUUCCAAGGCCUGGAACAAUUUCUUCUCAUUGAGAAGCACAAGACCUGGAAAUGAAGGCUGUGUCUCUACUUCCAGAACUCAAAGUUGAAGCAAGCUGUGUUGUGCACACCUGUAAAUCCUGUGCUCUGGGAGACUGAGGUGGGAGAAUCACAAAUUUGAGUUUAGCCGGGACAAUUUAGCAAGAUCUUGUCUCAAAAAUAAAAAAAAUAAAAAAGGUGAAAAGGGCCAGGCUAGUAGCGUGCUCCUUAGGAGGACUGCCAUGAGUUUGAGGCCAGCCUGAGCUACAUAGUGAGUUCAAGACCAGCCUAGACUACACAGUGAGACCUUGUCUCAAAAAACUAAAAAAUAAAUAAAUAAAAAGGAAAUGAAGAGUUAGCUCAAUGCAAAAGUCCUGGGUUAAAUUCCCAGUAUGGAGAGGAAAAGAAGAAUUAAAGGUUAUGACUGACUGUGGACAAACAACAGUACCAGCCCCCAGGUCUGGUGGAAAAGGAGUUCUUGCUCCACCUUUGUUUCCAGCCCCAGCUCCCUGGAGGACCUGGUAGUUUUCCAUGUUCUCCCUUGUGGGGCUCCCGGGCCUGGCCAGGUGAUUCCCUAUGGGAACCAGGACCCAAGACACGAAGUGAGACUACACACCCCUGCAAGCUUGUGCUGCUUUUGGUGUGAAAUGACAGCCGCCUCCACUCCCUGUCCUUUCAGAGAGCGGAAGCCAAGGCCCAGACUGCUCUUUUCAUCACCAGCUCAACCGCAGGGGCCACGGAAGGAACUGGAACUCUAAGCAGACCCAGCAGAAGAGACACGGGGCUCCCUUACGGGGAGGCAGAGCUGAAGGAAGGAGAAGCAAAUGAGUACUUCCUGGAGAUUAAGGCUUCGAGCUGCAACUCAAAACCUAAAGGAAAGCGUUGCCGAGGCAGAGAAAAGAAAAAUAAGCAAAGUGAAAAACUGGAUUUGGAAAUAGACCAGGAUUGAAAUUUCAAUUGUGUUUCACUGUAGAAUCUUGGGCAACCUCUGAAAUCCUCAGUUUCCUUCUCCACCUUCCACAGUGGUGAUUAUCCCACAGUGCUAUUGCAGGAUUAGUGAAAUAAUGUACAUAAGAUCCUUAGGUCCCUGGCAGAUAGUAGGUGCUCAAUAAAUGGUUGCUAUUUUUAUCACUGUUGGUGUCACUGUUGCUGCUGCUGAUGAAGGAGAAUCAUGCAGUGGAAGCUGGAGACCAGACUUUCCU
ensembl:lincRNA